rnacentral:rRNA from 1 species
AUGGUUGAAGAACCACUCAAAAUCUAUCACACUGCUGAAGCUUAUUACUUGGAUCAACUUCGAUCCCUAUGUUCUCAUGCUGAAACCCCAACUAGCUUAGUUGAGGGCAAAUCUUUAGAUGAGCAUGCUUGUUUUGUGCGACACCGAAUAUCUGAAAAAGGGAAAAUUCUAUUGGGUCAAAUUCAUCGUUUGCAAUGCUAUACUUGGAAUUUAUGUGAAAUAUAUGAUUUUACUUGUUGUUCUGAAAACCCUAAGAAACACCUUCCCUACCAAUGUGAGUUUAGUGAUAAUGGAAUCGUAUCUUCAUAUGCUAAAGGUGUUUAUAGUUACUAUGAUGUUCAACAAAUUGAAGAAUAUGUUGCUUUUAAGGGUGCUUAUGAAAUUGCUUCUUUGAUUGAAAAAUAUGAUGCUACUUUUCACAAACCUGAAAAUUUUGCCAUACUUAAAUAUUGCUAUGAUAAUUAUGCUUCUAAUGCCCAUGUUGAACCAUAUAUUGAGUACUUCUCCCUGUCCAAGAAGAGACUAAUAUUUUGCAGGAGUCUGUGGAAGAAGAAAUUGAUGAAACUGUGA